GACCUAGUGGUGAAAGGAUCACACCUGAAAUCAGUGACGUGGGCAACUUGGGUGAUUUGGCAGGAGUUCCCGGUUCGAUUCCGGGCUAGGUCA